rnacentral:lncRNA from 1 species
CCGCCUGCGUGGAAAGGGGUGAGACGCGGGCGGUAAUGGCCGGCGCAUCAUCACGACUUCUGAUUUUCCAUAUUUUUACAUGGGAACAGGGGAGCUUUGGACCUUGUGUCUAGACUACAAUCUAACCAUCAAUAGCCAGCAGCUUCAUCCGCAUAACACGUAAGCUAUCUCCUUCCCUCCUUCACCUUCUUGGAUUUGCAUUGUUUUUAGAUGCUUUAAGUUUCUUGUGGAUGUCAUCUUACUGAACCACGUGACUAGAACAAAAUCGCUGAAUCGAAGUGUGUAGCAAACAACCGAUUGCUACUGUAUGGUCUAUGCCAUGUUUGCUGACCCCUUUGUCUGUAGUUUCCGAUUUUGUGCACAAACAGUUCAGCAAAUCAAAAGUGUGUAGAUGCUCUAAAGCUAUGUAUGCUUCACAAAAGAAAGAAAGGGAGACGAGGUGGGAUGCUUAGUCAUUGCCUCAUGGGUCAUUGUUUCUUGGGGAUCAUGCAUGUAUAUAUGACUGAUAUGGAUUCCUAAACUGAUCGCCAUGCUUUUAUGGGUCUAGCCAAGGUUUUAUGUGUUCUUAAUCUACUCUUUCAUCAAUCUCCAUGGAUCCUAUUGUUAUUAGUUUUCCAGUGCUCAAAUUUACCUGCUCUGUAUGAUAACCCAAGUGUGUCGUUGCCUACACAAACUAAUGAGCAAGAAUUAGUCUACCAUUCAUGUUUUUUCAUCUUUACGUAUUAUUUUGUUGUAAUACAGAAAGAUGGACAUCUGACACUGCUUGUAGAUGUAGUGAAGGUACUCCUGGACCAUGAUCCAUCCCUUGGGAAAACGUUUGCCCAAUCAAAAUGUGACUCCUCUGAUUUGCGGCAAUUAGAGGCCACCUCAAGGUAGUGAACCUUCUGCUGGGUUGGUUGAACUACCAAAGGCGAACGGAACAACAAUUGCACAUACCCUUUAUUUUCCUGGUACAGGCAAUCUCCAGACAUGACAAAGCAUGUAUCUACGUCAGAAAAUUUUCUUAGCUUUUCCAGAAAUACGAUUUGGUUUAAUUAUGUAUUAGCACUACCCCAAUUUACAUUGGAUUUUUAUAUGCACACUUCUAAAAGUAAGGUUGUGUGGUCCAUUUUUGUAGGGUCAUAUUUUCUUACCAUAACUUGUCACAAUCACAGUUCUAAUGUUAUUGUUUAAUUCAACAUUUGUAUUAGCGGUUAGUUUUGCUUAUUUCGCCUCACUACAUUAAACUCCAUAGUUUGGAUUAUUUAAAUACGGAUCCUACUUAUGCAUAUAAUAUAAGUUCACAAGCUCCAAUCCAAGUUAUAUAGUCGUCGUGGUGAGAACUGAGAAUUGACAACUGUAUUCCUUGUAAUUUGGGAAAAAGGUUGUUGGUCAAUUUGCUUAAAAUUUACAAGAAUUGAGUAGCCGUUACUUGCUUGCAUAAAAUAGACAGUUUAAUUUAUGGUAUGCUUCGGUUUUUUGUCAUACAUGUUAAUUUGGUAAGAAAAAUCGUGUGUUUUUAAAUUAACUCAUUCUAGGAGCUAGCCACUGCACAUUUUCUUUGUUGAUUCUCAGUUUUGAUUUGAGCUAAGGCUCCCCAUUUCGUUCAACUAGAUCUUUUACAGACAACAGUAUAAUAGUUUUUCUCUUCCUCUACCUGCCCUAUAUAAGCAUUUUUUAUUUUGUGCUACAGAGUAAAGAUACAUUUUUAACUCUGAUUCCACUACGCACUUUGUCGUGCUUUGCAUGUCGGUAGUUUCGUUACACUAUAGUAGGAUAAUCCUUGUGUUACAAUUAUUGUACUGAUUGCAUCAUAGAUUGCCUCAUACUGCAGGGAAAACAUGAGGGGCUUUCAAACUGCAGUUCGAGAGACGAUCUGUUUGUCCUAUGGAGGUGUACUCAAUGGACUUCUGUUUUUGCUACACUAUUCUUCAAUAAAUAUUAGUUUUACCUUCUGCAUUUUCUUCCAAGCGACUUUAUUCUUUUUCUUAUAACUUUGUCCCAUCUGCUAUCCAGUUAGUGAUAUUUGGUUUGUUAAUUCUCUCUACUUAGCAGGUCAAAGUUUAGGUAAGGCCAAAGUCCAAAGUUGUUUCAUGCAACUUAGCAUUAGAAUGGGUCGGCUUUCUAGAGCAGAAAAGACACAUAGUUUUUUUUUGACGUAUUGUGCCUAUUCGGAAACAAGAAGUGUCUGCUUUGUAGUUUUUUUUCAAAAAAUAAUAUAAUUAGAAUGAAUGAAAUAUGUGAGGGUUGAGCUCUUGAGUGUUAUUGUUUUAAACAUUUGUUUGUUCUUUUUGCUGUUCUUGUGAAACAAAGUUGUCGGUGAGAAGACCAGGGUCAUGUAUGCUUCUGUAUCAAGGACUUUCCUCACAGCCAUCCCAAGUUGAGCAGUUUUACAUACAUACAAGAUACAACAUUAUCAAGAAAAACAUUCUUGUGGCAACUCAGCAAAAUUCUUACAAAUUCGCAAGUCAAUCAUGCAUGCUCAUGUAUUCUUGUGGCUUUGUUCAUAUAUAUAUCCCCAAAACAUGUUCUUAAGUUGAAU